UCCCUGGUGGUCCAGUGAGUAUGACUCUGAGCUCCCAGUGCAGGGGAUGCAGGUUUGUUUCCUGCUUGGGGAA
rnacentral:tRNA from 1 species